UUCGGCUUUGGGCUGCGGAUCUCCAGAAGCAGCUGUGAGGAGCCCCGGCCUUACUCUGGCCUGUGCUACCAUGAUUCCUUGUGUCAUGGGCUCUCUCAGUGCCCUGGGUGCUCUCCUGCUGCUUGCAUGCCAGCUCGUCUGCCCACAGCCCUCCACUGAACACAGAAAGGUCCCACAGCGGCCCCCCGAGGACGAUGACGGCCUG